rnacentral:rRNA from 1 species
UACAGAGGGGGCAAGCGUUGUUCGGAAUUACUGGGCGUAAAGGGCGCGUAGGCGGCCUGUUAAGUCGAACGUGAAAUCCCCGGGCUCAACCCGGGAACUGCAUCCGAUACUGGCGGGCUUGAAUCCGGGAGAGGGAUGUGGAAUUCCAGGUGUAGCGGUGAAAUGCGUAGAUAUCUGGAGGAACACCGGUGGCGAAGGCGGCAUCCUGGACCGGUAUUGACGCUGAGGCGCGAAAGCUAGGGGAGCAAACAGG